CCGCGGUUAUACGAGAGACCCCAGUUGAUAGCUACGGCGUAAAGAGUGGUUACGGGUACAUAACAAAUAAAGCCAAAGACCUCCCAAGCUGUUACACGUAUCUCGGAAGCACGAAGCCCAACUACGAAAGUGACUUUAACAUACCCCGACGCCACGAAAGCUAAGAAA
rnacentral:rRNA from 1 species